ensembl:lncRNA novel transcript, antisense to DHCR24
GACUUCCUCUCCAGAGAGGCAGGAUGGCAUAAUGAACGGCUAAGGGACCUGGGAGCCUGAUUACUGGGGUAUAUAGACCCAGACUGAACAGGUACUGGGAAUGAAGCACACCUAGAGGAGCCACCUCCCUGACCUCAGGAUCCUUAAUGCCCAGAGCAGGCUGGCAUGGACAUCUCCCAUUGCUGAACUCACCGGAGUGCAUCGCACAAAGCUGCCAUCAGCCAGGACCAGCUCGAGAAAUACUCAUUCACUUAGAAGAUACAGCAAAAGUGAAGAAGAAAACAAAAAUCACCCAUCCUGGCUGGUCGUGGUGACUCAUGUCUGUAAUCCCAGCACUUUGGGAGGCCAAGGUUUCGAGAAGUAAAAUUACUAGAUGGGCCAAAAAGUAUGUACAUUUCGAAGGCUAUUAAACAAGAGGGUUUCCAGGAAGCUUGUAACAAGACCCAUGUCUCUCAGUCACUUCUGUAGCCCAUUUUUUACCAGCACACUUCCUUAUCAGGAAGGGGUAAGUAGAUUCCUUUUUGCCUCUCAUUUUUGCUCACGAAUUCCCCAUUCCUGACUUCCUGUGGAAACGCAAAGGGUUCCCCUGACCUAUUAUGACCCAUCUCUCCCCUGGUGGCUGUGAGGCUUGAGGACAGCAAUGGCAGGGAGUAUCUUCUAUGACUGUGGGCAUUGGUCCUGUCCACUCUGCAAUGCCCUUGGCUAAAAUCAUCUCCCUAUGAGUCACUUGCACCAGGGGCAGUGCCCCACCUGCUCCCAGAGCCCGGAAAAGUGCUACUCUCACCUGUUUCUUGGUGUCCACUUCCAGAAUGUCCAUCAGGUUGAUCAUGA